AAGAGCUUGCUCUUCAAAUCGAGUGGCGAACGGGUGAGUAACGCGUGAGGAACCUGCCUCAAAGAGGGGGACAACAGUUGGAAACGACCGCUAAUACCGCAUAACCCGCUAGGGCCGCAUGGCCCAUGGAAGAAAAGGUGGCCUCUACCUGUAAGCUAUCGCCUGAAGAGGGGUUUGCGUCUGAUUAGCUGGUUGGAGGGGUAACGGCCCACCAAGGCGACGAUCAGUAGCCGGUCUGAGAGGAUGAACGGCCACACUGGAACUGAGACACGGCCCAAACUCC
rnacentral:rRNA from 1 species